rnacentral:misc_RNA from 1 species
GAUGAAGAACGUAGCGAAAUGCGAUAAGUAGUGUGAAUUGCAGACUAAGUGAAUCAUCGAGUCUUUGAACGCACAUUGCGCCCCCUGGCAUUCCGGGGGGCAUGCCUGUCCGAGCGUCAUUGCUGCCCUUCAAGCCCGGCUUGUGUGUUGGGUCGUCGUCCCCCCCGGGGGACGGGCCCGAAAGGCAGCGGCGGCACCGCGUCCGGUCCUCGAGCGUAUGGGGCUUUGUCACCCGCUCGAUUAGGGCCGGCCGGGCGCCAGCCGGCGUCUCCAACCUUCUAUUUUACCAGGUUGACCUCGGAUCAGGUAGGGAUACCCGCUGAACUUAAGCAUAUCAAUAAGCGGAGGA